rnacentral:rRNA from 1 species
UCGAUGAAGAACGCAGCGAAAUGCGAUAAGUAAUGUGAAUUGCAGAAUUCAGUGAAUCAUCGAAUCUUUGAACGCACCUUGCGCUCCUUGGUAUUCCGAGGAGCAUGCCUGUUUGAGUGUCAUUAAUAUAUCAACCUCUACAGCUUUUGCUUAUUUGAGUGUUGGAUGUGGGGGUUUUUUGCUGGCCUUUCUGAGGUCAGCUCCCCCUGAAAUUUAUUAGCGGAACAAUGUGUUAACCGUUCAUUGGUGUGAUAACUAUCUACGCUAUUGACGGAAAGCAGUUCAGCUUCUAACAGUCUAUUGACUUGGACAAUUUUUAAUUAAUGUGACCUCAAAUCAGGUAGGACUACCCGCUGAACUUAA